AGGGAGAACUCAGUGCAAUGGUUUAAAGCAGGGGUUCUGGUUGCAAACUGUCUAGCUUGAACCCUUGCUUUGCCAUUUGCCAGUGUGCAGCCUUAGGUUAUUGUGAUGAUCUGAUGCACAGUCUGGAAAAGAUACAGUGGCUACUUAUUUGCUGGGCAUGGCACAACUCAACAGCUCUUAACAUCUCUUCUGGGGGACAAGAUGUUGCCAUACUCCAUCUGACAAUAUGCCUGUCAUUUUCCUGCUGUUCUCAGAAGCACCACUGUGCUGCCUCCAGGGAAAGAGCCUUUUGGAAAUAAGUGCUUUUUGAAGAUGUUUACAUCAGUGGUGAACAGCGAGUAAGGAAUUGAAAUGUAAGUACCAUUUGUAGUUUGGAUUCUGCUUUCUUUUCUUUUCUUUUUUUUUUUUUUGCUGUGAAACAUGGCUGGGAGCCAUGGGCACCAUUCCUUUUUAGGAGACUGAUGCCCUCAUUUACAUGGCUGUCUUAGAUAGCUGCAUACAAUGCCAGUAAAUGGACAGAAAUCAGUGUUAAAUAGCAGCACUCAGGAGCAGAAACACUCAGGCAAAACCUGUUACAACCAAGUUGGAGAAGGAUAUGUUUUAGACACUGCAGAAAUUGUGUUCUAUGAUCGAUGGAG
rnacentral:lncRNA from 1 species